rnacentral:lncRNA from 1 species
CUUGUCUACAUUGAACAGGUUUUCUUCAUAAUAAAAAAUAUACUACAUGUUAAAUAUUUAUUAAAGGAAAGUAGUGAGCCUGGAGGAAGGCAGGUGGGAGGGCAAAUAUAGACAGCAGGUGACAUGACUAAGCUUGCAUAUGCAGAAACCCCAUUUCCGGCUCUGCAGCAGCAAGGCCACAAGAUUGCCCAGCUCCAGCAACACUGCCAGGACCUGGCAGGUGGCAGGCAGAAUAAAAGCCAGAAUCUCACCAGUGGGAAGAGCCCCCAAGAUGCAGCCCAGACUGCCUGCUCUCCUGUGCACAAUUGCAGCCUUCAUCUGCCUUGGUCCAAGCAAGAUUGAGAGCGUCGACAUAUCUACAGAUGUGGUGUAUGAGGAAGAGGGACAAUCUGUGACCUUGGAAUGCAAGUUCACAGUCAGCUUUGCUUACUACAUAAUGUACUGGUAUCGACAGUCUUCCAGUAGAGAAAUGACUCGCAUAAUUGAUAUUUACUCUCAAAAUAGGCAAAACAGUGAAGGGCGAUAUUCUGUGGAGUUUUACAAAGAGAGCCAAACUCUAAAGCUCACCAUCUCGAGCUUGACACUGAGUGACUCGGACGUCUAUUUCUGCGCUGUCACAGAGGUGCACGGUGAUGGCAGUGGCAGGGAGUGCCUUACAAAAACCCCCAGGGCUCAACACCAGACAGCCACCUGCUCCAGGAGCCAAGGAGAGAACAGCCCACAGAACAGGAAGAGGGUAGACACAGGCAUGGUAGGUGGCUCUUCGGGGUCUAGAGAGAAGGUAAUGAAUGUUCUAAAAACAAUUUUCCCACAUUUGAUAUCGAAGAAAGUGUUGUGGUUACAAGAGCAUUUUCAUCUCUGAAUCUGGUACCUAAGCACGGCUGGUCAAGGUGUACCUCUGUCACUUCUGCCUGCCCAACAUCCACCCCCCUUUUUGGUGACAGCACCAUGAUUUUCCCUGGAUAAACAAGCCUCCCACCCCACAACUGGGUUUGGAUGAGGCUAACCCCAACCUUGGACUCCCGACCCAUGAGUACAGUUCAUCUCUGACCACAGCCAUUGGUUUAAGGAUAGGAACAUGACCCAAGCCCACAUCCCCAAAUUUAAUAUGGAACUAUUGAGAAUGCUGUUGGAGAUGGAAGAGGCUAGGACGUUAUUAAAAAGCCAUGAGAAGCCGAAAAUGGAGUCUUCCCC